GACCUGACCGAUGACAUCAGAGCAUUCUGGAGACCUGGAUCCCACACAGUCUUUGCAGAUGCACAGAGCCCAUUUUCAAAAAAUAGGGUCUCUUCCCCAUGGAACCUCUCCCGUGAAUUCAACUCACAUCUUCUUAAGAGUGAUUGUGGAGAGGUACCGAUUGUCAGAGAGAGCUCUGUGGACCAGUGGCCAGGAGUCUCCAAAGUGUAGUUAGAGGUGACAAAAAGAUGUGGCAAUAGCUCCAAGAGGAAAUGGCUGUACUGUGCAUACAAGCAAAAUCAUGGUGACCUGUCCCACACAGGACACAAGAGCCACCAAAUCUCAAGGAGACAUGACAACCAAGCUGAUGGACAUCUAAGCUAUACCUGGAAGUGCCAUGCCCACAUUUAUCCCAGCCUUGUCAUCGUACCCAUGUAUCUGAAGUGAGAGUCCUGUUCAUCCUGCGUCAUCAACCCAACUCCCUUCAUCUGCAAAACUAUUUUUUUUCCCCAUUGCCUAAAAUUUGGCCAUAGGGACUCAGGACUUCGAAUACUCCAACCUCCUGAGAAGUGCUACCUUAACAAACUAUUAUCAGCCACUGUCCUUGGAAGGAAUAGGGGAAAAGAGGCUGAGAAGCAGACUUUUUUUUUUUUUUUUUUUUUUGUGGGAUAGGAGAUGU